CGGGAUUUACUCUAAAACCGACGG
rnacentral:miRNA from 1 species